rnacentral:rRNA from 1 species
CCUACGGGUGACUGCAGUGAGGAAUAUUGGUCAAUGGCCGUAAGGCUGAACCAGCCAAGUCGCGUGAAGGAAGAAGGAUCUAUGGUUUGUAAACUUCUUUUAUAGGGGAAUAAAGGUAUCCACGUGUGGCUAUUUGCAUGUACCCUAUGAAUAAGCAUCGGCUAACUCCGUGCCAGCAGCCGCGGUAAUACGGAGGAUGCGAGCGUUAUCCGGAUUUAUUGGGUUUAAAGGGUGCGGAGGUUGUUUUUUAAGUCAGGGGUGAAAGUUUGUGGCUCAACCAUAAAAUUGCCGUUGAAACUGGAAGACUUGAGUGUGUUUGAGGUAGGCGGAAUGCGUGGUGUAGCGGUGAAAUGCAUAGAUAUCACGCAGAACUCCGAUUGCGAAGGCAGCUUACUAAGCCAUAACUGACACUGAAGCACGAAAGCGUGGGGAUCAAACAGGAUUAGAUACCCGGGUAGUC